UACAGAGGGUGCGAGCGUUAAUCGGAAUUACUGGGCGUAAAGCGCACGUAGGCGGCUUGGCAAGUCGGAUGUGAAAUCCCUCGGCUCAACCAAGGAAGUGCAUCCGAAACUGCUGAGCUUGAGUACUUAAGAGGAUCGCGGAAUUCCCGGUGUAGAGGUGAAAUUCGUAGAUAUCGGGAGGAACACCAGUGGCGAAGGCGACUACCUGGCCUGUUUCUUGACGCUGAGGCGCGAAAGCUAGGGGAGCAAACGGG
rnacentral:rRNA from 1 species